rnacentral:lncRNA from 1 species
UUCUCCCCACACACUCUGCUCUAAUUAUUUAAAAUGUCCCUCACUUCCAUUUUUCCCACUUGCAUAGGUUGCAGAUGGAAAAGAAAAAGUGAAGUGAAUAGUACUCACAUCCACCAUGAUUCCAGAAUUCACAAGACACCCUCUUAAACUGCUGAAAGGGGCUAUGGCUAGAAGUCAAACAACUGAUGAUUUGCCUCAAAAAUAAUUCUGCAAGACACACAGAAACAAGCCUUACUGACAUUCAAGAUUCAAAACUAACCUUUAAUGAGGGCCCAUGGACUUUUUCCAUUUCCCUGAUGAGAAAAGAAUGAAAAGAGUGUCACUUUCUUGCAUAUUUACAGCAAUUUUUUUUCAAAAAUAAAAAAACAAGACAGCAAUUCCUGCAAUCUUACUUCUAGACUUUAAAGACUGUCAAAGAGAGCAGCAAACUUGCAACAAGGUCCAGGCUUACUGAAAGCAAUCUUUUUCCAUCUAGAAAUCAAAUGCAUUUAAAAUGUUGCUCUUUAGGAGAAAAGACCAUUUCCUUCACAGAAACACUUUGAAAGAGAAGCCAGGUGCUGUGUAUUUAAUCAGCAAAUGCUAAUGAAAUGCUAAGAUCUCAGGGCAUAAACUGUCAAACUGAAGACCUUCAAAUGCUGAUUCAACUACCUGAAUAUCUAGUUAAAGGAAAUACACUCACAGGGGCCAAUUUGCAUGGACAUUUUUAAACAUUAACUUUAAUGAUGAUUGACAAGGCCAGCUUAUGUCUAAACAGAUUAGGAAAGUGCUAAUUUGUGAAGGAUGAUGGCAAUCUUGUGUUUAAGACCCCAGCCAC